GAAGGUCUGACCUGAGGGGAGCCGGCGGGAGGCGCUGACUUGAGGCUGAGGGGUCCUGACCUGAGGCUGAGCGGGGUCUGGCCUGCGGGACCCGAGGGGAUCGGACUCGACCGGAGUGCUCGGUCCUGAGGAGGGGCCGGCCCUUGCUCCUGCCCCGCGGGCACGGUCCCGCCGCUCUUCCUUCGCCCCGCCACAGGCACUGGGUUGUUCCAGCCUCCCGUGAAUCCCCCUCCUGUUUGAUUCAGCAAACGAAGUUCUGCUUUUUUAUCUUCUGCUGUAAGACUCUGGGUAGGAUUUCACAGCUGUGAAUGAGAGCUAGACCUAUCGAGACACUGCACUUAGGGCAAACACGCUGAAAACUUAAUCAAUCAAUUAAAGUACCCAUGAAAAAAAGCAAAUUUUAAAUCAAA